UAAUUCAGAUUUACGCCCGAUCUCGUCCGAUCUCAGAAGCAAAGCAAUGUUGACUUGGAUGGGAGACCACCUGGGAAUACUGAGUGCUGUAGGUAUCACAGUGUUGAA
rnacentral:rRNA from 1 species